UUCUGUGCCAGAGCAUCCACAGCUACGUGACGGCCUGCCAAGAGGCUGGGGCCCCCAUCCAGCCCUGGAGAAACACCUCCUUCUGCUCUGUGAGCUGCCCAGUCAACAGCCACUAUGAGGUCUGCGCUGACCUAUGUACCACCACCUGCUCUGCAGAAAUCAUGGACUGCCCGGAGACCUGUGCUGAAGGCUGCCAGUGUGACGAUGGCUUCUUCUUCGAUGGCCAGGGCUGUGUGACUCCAGAAAGCUGUGGGUGCUUCGAGCGUGGGAGAUAUUACAAGCCCAAUGAGACGGUCCUGACGAACGAGUGCCAGCAAAGCUGCACCUGUGUUCCUGCUCGAG